GAACAGUAGGAGAUGAGGUCAAACAAGUAAUGGGACAAGAUCGUUUGGCUUUGUAGGUCAAGGUCGUCUUAAAGACUGGACACCCGACUGGUCGAAAUGUGCAGUUUGGCUGGGAUCUGGAUGGGACAGGUAAUCUUGCAGGGUUUUUAGGGCCUGGCCUAUUGAAGAAGUAGGACUAGAACUCAUCCAAGGAGGAGCAUGAAGGAGACG